UACGUAGGUGGCAAGCGUUGUCCGGAAUUAUUGGGCGUAAAGCGCGCGCGGGCGGUUCCUUAAGUCUGAUGUGAAAGCCCACGGCUCAACCGUGGAGGGUCAUUGGAAACUGGGGAACUUGAGUGCAGGAGAGAAGAGUGGAAUUCCACGUGUAGCGGUGAAAUGCGUAGAGAUGUGGAGGAACACCAGUGGCGAAGGCGACUCUUUGGCCUGUAACUGACGCUGAGGCGCGAAAGCGUGGGGAGCAAACAGG
rnacentral:rRNA from 1 species